AUUGAACGCUGGCGGCAGGCCUAACACAUGCAAGUCGAGCGAAAGGCGGACGGGUGAGUACUGUCUGGGAGCUGCCCGAUAGCGGGGGAUAGCUACUGGAAGCGAUGGCUAAUAUCGCACAUUGCGUGAUAUACCAUAUGGGAUUGGUUAGUAGGUACGGUAAUGGCUUACCUAGGCGACGCUCCCUAGCUGGUCUGAGAGGAGGCUCAGCCAGACUGGGACUGAGACACGGCCCAGACUCCUACGGAGGCAGCAGUGGGGAAUAUUGCACAAUGGGCGCAAGCCUGAUGCAGCCAUGCCGCGUGUAUGAAGAAGGCCUUAGGGUUGUAAAGUACUGUCAGUCGGGAGGCGGUACCGACAGAAGAAGCACCGGCUAACUCCGUGCCAGCAGCCGCGGUAAUUC
rnacentral:rRNA from 1 species